GAUAGCUGGACGUGCAGUGGCGAGCAAAGGCAACCGUGCGGCCGCACCACGCCGUGGUGGGCCUGCGUCAGGUCGGUGCCGUCGGCCGCUGAGGACCAGUGUGAGGUUGGAGGCUAGCGGCGAGUAGGUCGGUCACCCACCCGACCCGUCUUGAAACACGGACCAAGGAGUCUAACAUGUGCGCGAGUCAAUGGGUCUUGAACAAGCCCAGAGGCGCAAUGAAAGUAAAGGCGAGGCACCAGCCCGCCGAGUCGGGAUCCCAUGUCAAGCAUGGGCGCACCGACGACCCGUCUUGUGCAGUUUACUGCUUAGGCGGAGUGUGAGCGUACACGUUGGGACCCGAAAGAUGGUGAACUAUGCCCGGACAGGACGAGGCCAGAGGAAACUCUGGUGGAGGUCCG
rnacentral:rRNA from 1 species